GUAGACGGCUACCAGAACAGAAAGUCGAAUGUGAGCGCACACUGGUGUGGAAAAUCCAACAUGCUAAGUAAAGUGACCUGGAGGUUAGCGCACCUGCCUGGAAGACAUUUGAUCAAAGCUUUGUCUGUGACUCCACCGAACAGAGUUGGGUUCACCAUGGCGUGCUUUGGAACAUAACAUCAAAUCUUAAGGAGCAACCUAAUCCAGAUCUGAGGGUAUCUGAGAUCAGGAUCACCCCAAAUCAAAUUGUGCAAAAUAUAUACAUAUAUAUUUUGCCAUGUUUAGUUUGUUUGCAGACAUGUCGAGG